ACUUAAAUUGAAGAGUUUGAUCAUGGCUCAGAUUGAACGCUGGCGGCAGGCCUAACACAUGCAAGUCGAGCGGUAGCACAGAGAGCUUGCUCUCGGGUGACGAGCGGCGGACGGGUGAGUAAUGUCUGGGAAACUGCCUGAUGGAGGGGGAUAACUACUGGAAACGGUAGCUAAUACCGCAUAACGUCGCAAGACCAAAGUGGGGGACCUUCGGGCCUCAUGCCAUCAGAUGUGCCCAGAUGGGAUUAGCUAGUAGGUGGGGUAACGGCUCACCUAGGCGACGAUCCCUAGCUGGUCUGAGAGGAUGACCAGCCACACUGGAACUGAGACACGGUCCAGACUCCUACGGGAGGCAGCAGUGGGGAAUAUUGCACAAUGGGCGCAAGCCUGAUG
rnacentral:rRNA from 1 species